rnacentral:rRNA from 1 species
ACUAACAAGGAUUCCCCUAGUAACGGCGAGUGAAGCGGGAAGAGCUCAAAUUUGAAAUCUGGCAGUCUUCGAUUGUCCGAGUUGUAAUCUAUAGAGGCGUUUUCCGUGCCGGACCGUGUCCAAGUCUCCUGGAAAGGAGUAUCAAAGAGGGUGAUAAUCCCGUACUUAACACGACCACCGGUGCUCUGUGAUACGUCUUCUACGAGUCGAGUUGUUUGGGAAUGCAGCUCAAAAUGGGUGGUGAAUUCCAUCUAAAGCUAAAUAUUGGCGAGAGACCGAUAGCGAACAAGUACCGUGAGGGAAAGAUGAAAAGCACUUUGGAAAGAGAGUUAAACAGUACGUGAAAUUGUUGAAAGGGAAACGAUUGAAGUCAGUCGUGUUCUUUGGAUUCAGCCAGUUCUGCUGGUCUACUUCCUUGGAACGGGUCAACAUCAGUUUUGUCCGGUGGAUAAAGGUAGUAGGAAUGUGACUUCUCCGGAAGUGUUAUAGCCUAUUAUCACAUACACUGGGUGAGACUGAGGACUGCAGCUCGCCUUUAUGGCCGGCCUUCGGGCACGUUCGAGCUUAGGAUGUUGACAUAAUGGCUUUAAACG